CUUGUUCUAAAAAAACUCCUUUAUACGAUCAUGUGAGUUGUAGUGGCUGUUUCAAAGUAUAUAAGCUGCCUGAUUUUGCUUUUGGAGAGAGAUCUCUUCCCAGUGCUUGGUGAAUCCACGUCGCUUUGAGGUCUCUCCUACAGCUGUAGUUUCAUCUAAAUAAAAAGCUUCUGCUGACCUGCCUCAAAAGUAUCCUGCGUGUGCUUGCACGACAAUUCCUGGUGCCCCGACUCGGAUCCAAAACACGCGUCGCGUAGGAAGGACCGCGGACCGUUCCCCACUGAACCCCGGCGCCACCCCGAAGUCUAUCCAUUCACAGGUCCAGGAAGCUUCUCCUCAGCCACCUGACGUCCCUUGCCGUGACCUCCAGCCAGGAGACUGGGUAUAUGUGAAGGUCCAUCAGCGAAAGGAUGCACUCCAACCCAGGUGGAAAGGACCGUUUCAAGUUUUACUGACCACCCAUACCGCUGUCAAGUGCCAAGGACACCAGACGUGGACUCAUGCCUCACACUGCAAAAAGGUGCUACCGCCACUAGAUUCAGAUGCUCCGGCAUUUCAACCAUCUAAGCACCCAGCAGCUACAAACCAAGACUCCCAACACACUAAAGAAAAGACAUCAGAAGAAUCACCUCGAUAUAAACUCUGGAGCCGCACCAGAAACACUCAGGGACAAUAGGCUCAUGUACCCAAACGCCAAAGUCAUAAGCCCCUGGGGUAAUCUGGGACCGAAGAGGGAGGAAAAGUUGUGGUUGCCAUCUUGGGUCUAGUUAGUUGCAUUGUUCUUCCUACUGGUAUUAACUGCAUUCGUUGUGGAGAUAUUUUGUCCUUCCUGUCUCUAAAAUGGCACUGAUAUCCUUAUACAUCGUUCUUGGGUACCUUAGUAUCACCCAAGGGGAGGUGGGAGAAAAAUUUGUUCUUGCAGAUCUCCCAAAAGGUGGGCCAGGUUGGGAAUAAAAGUGACUGCUGGAUAUGCUCCCGCUGCCCAGCGCAUCUGUACCAAGGGGUCCCUAUGAUCGGAAUAGCAAUAACCCUCCAGCAAUGGGGAAAGACAAAUGGCAGCUUUGUUAGACCCUACUCGAUUGCUGCCAACCAGUCCGCUUCCGAGGAAUGGAGGUCCGCCCCCGCUGACUGGAUAAUCUCCCCAAGAGCAGAGGUGCCUUUCUGUUACAGAACUGGAGCUUAGGAUGAAGCCACACCUGUGGGGCACUACCCUCAUUGCCAAGCUAUUUCAGACUAUAGCUUUAAUAGCACAAGUGGAAUCCUGUUGGGUAAUGUGCCCUCUCUCAAUUGUCCAGGAUUCACGGUUCACAACUUCUCUGAUGAACCUCAUGCUGUUCUCGCUGCAAACAGAUCGGCAUUUUACAUGCAUUCCAGCUUUACUUUUUGUAACAUAUCUCAGUCCAGCAAGACAUCAGCCCAACGUGGUCCGUCCUACACGUCGCAUGUCAACCAACAGUGCCUGGUAAGGAAGAACACCUGUAAAGAUUUGAGUGCCCUUUCUGCUCUGGGUCUACCGGCUCUGCGAAAACAGGGCUCAUAAAAAUCUUACCCUAGAAAUGGGUGGGGACAUGUACUCUUAGACAUGUUAUCCCUGGUUUUGAAAUGCAACGCAUCUGGAGUAAGUAAGAAAUUUCAACCAUUGCAUAAAAAGGGCAGUUAACCCCUUAGCUACCAGAAACACAGGGUUCCACCAAUUUGUGAGGACCCUCAUACCUUGGCUUGGAGUAAAUGAAUUGAAACAAGCCAUAGCUAAUAUUUCAGCCACAACGGAAGCUAUGGGGAACACUGCUGCUGAUGCUAUCCCAGCCUUACAAGAAGAGAUCUCCCAGAUCUCACAAGUAACUAUACAAAACCACAUGGCCCUAAACUACCUAUUGGUACCCCAGGGAGGAGUAUGUGCCCUGGUAAACUCCGCCUCUUGUGUUUAUGUCAACCAAAACAAGUGAAGACAGACAGACAUUUGCAAAAUUCGCAACCAGUUAAGGGUCCUACACCAGGUAGCCUCAAAAAAAUACCGAAUGGGAAAUCGAAGACAUGUGGUCCUGGCUUACCUCCUGGCUGCCCAGCCUUGGGGCUCUGGGAAAGAAAAUUCUGUAUGGAAUAAUGUUUGUUUUAAUACUGUUAGUAGUUCUCUAUGUUUUACUUCAAUUGUCUCUUUGCUGCAUACGCACUGGUACCCAAACCUUUGGCAAGAUUAGUAAACCUAAGAUAGAGAACAAAAUAGUGAUAUUACAGAGAUGUGGGUGAAUUGAGAAGGAACAAGAAGAAAGAUAUAAUGAAAUAAAAGGGUUAAUGAGCAUUGAAGUUUAAGGCUAAAAUGAGACUUGGAAGUCUCAAAGGGGGGGAAGGUGGAAUUCAGAAGUCGCUGGCCUUAAACUUUGAGCAGCCUUUGUAAGAAAGAGAACGAGUGGAAAAGUACAAUUUUUGUCUUUCAGUUGUUAGCAGAAAGCGUUUGUUCUAGCAAACCCUGUCUCCCCCGUAACCGCUUCCCGGUAACAGCAAGACAGUACGUGAUUAGUGUCUAUAGCUGCUUGCUCUAAAAAAACUCCAUUAUACAAUCAUGAGUCGUAGUGGCUGUUUAAAGGUAUAUAAGCUGCCUGAUUUUGCUUUUGGAGAGAGAUCUCUUCCCAGUGCUUGGUGAAUCCACGUCGCUUUGAGGUCUCUCCUACAGCUGUAGUUUCAUCUAAAUAAAAAGCUUCUGCUGACCUGCCUCAAAAGUAUUCUGCGUGUGUUUGCACAACACUGGAAAGAAGCCCAGAUAUGCAGUAUGCACCUAGCUACAUAGUUAGUUGCGUCUUUCCUUUUCACUGGUUUCCAGUAGUUUUGAAUGACUUUUCAGUCCUGAAAGCAUGAUCCUACAGCCUGCAACUUCCACGAAAACAGACCUGUGGGACCAGCUGUUGUAGUGUUUACCGCCAGUAAGAGAGUCAGAUUCUUUCAGUCCCUCCCAAGCUGGCAUACAGUACACUGGCGUAACUUCAGCACUGCUCUGGCCAAAAAUGGACAAGCCUCCUUGGGCAAACAGUAAAACAGGAACCUUGCAAAAGAGAUCACCUUACCCUCAAGGUUAGAAAAGUAGCUCUGAAAGAUUUAAAAAAAAAAAAAAAACACAAACAAACAAACAAAAAAACAAAGGAAAAAAAGUGGAGUUUCAGAUAUUGGUACUGGUCAAAUAGAGCAAGUGCAGAAAAGCCCUGCCUUAGAAUAGCAGAAAAACUACACAAGUCAUAUUUAUGGGUUAUAAAAGCCCUUUUAUAAAGCCAUUUUUAAACAAAACCAAAAAGUUUACAAAAGAAAAUAAAAGAUACAGAAGAAUGAGUUGCUUAAUAUAUUCCAAAAAGAGAAAAAUAAAGAGGGGACACAAUUCCAACAUGCUGAACAAUAAAGGGUUCUUUUUUCUCGUUUUUUAAUACAAAAUACAAGCGAAGGAUACACAUACUUAAAACAGCGCUCAGGAGCAGGUAUGCAGUCCUGGGAACCCUUCAAUAAAAGCAAAGCAGGGUUUUGUUAAUUUUUUUUCUUCUUCUUUGCAGGUACAUACAGAGACUGGAAUAUGUAAAAUUAAGUAGCACAAAAGACCAUCACACAAUUCUACCAAUGCAUGUUGCAUCUAUAAUUCACGAACAUGGUCAACAAAGUCAUGUUCACUUCAACCCCCUUUUUAAAAAAAAAAAAAAAAAAAAAAAAAAAAAAAAAUU